rnacentral:rRNA from 1 species
UGGAAUCGCUAGUAAUCGCAAAUCAGAAUGUUGCGGUGAAUACGUUCCCGGGUCUUGUACACACCGCCCGUCACACCAUGGGAGUCGGAUAUGCCCGAAGCCAGUGACCUAACCGCAAGGAAGGAGCUGUCGAAGGUGGAGCCGAUAACUGGGGUGAAGUCGUAACAAGGUAAC